CGCACAGACCCACGAUCCAGUAAUCCAGUUCCAGUUCCAUUGAUUUCCCUCGGCGUGAUCGGGCGCUAGGGCAAGGACAAGGCGCCGCCGCAGGCCUCGCCGCACUGGCACUGUAGACUGCACCGACGCGUCCAAGCCAAGCGACAGCUCACCGACUUCCGUGCAAGUCUGCAGCCAGGCGCCGCCGCGUCGUAGGACCGUGCCACUUCGACCGCGCCACAUCGCAGGCUGCAAGCCAGUCGUCACUGCUCCUAUCACGGUGUAGUUCGGCUCAGGAUCCAGGCAUCAUCGCCCCUGCCACACCGUGUCGUCCGGUCCCAGCUCGCCGUCACCCGAGGCGCUCUUCACCCGCGCUCGCACGAUGCAGCCGCCCCACGCCAGCAGGUCCGGUCCUAGCUCAUCGCCACCGGUCGUCGUCGCCGGCUCAUCGUCAUCGGCUCCGACGGCUCAUCAGCAACAACCGGAGGCGCCUCACGCUCGAACUCUACCGCCGUGGCCCCGUUUUGCAGCUCCUCGCUCUCUUCUAAGGUAUUGUUGCUUUCUAUUUUCUUAUGUAUUUGAUUAGCAUAGUUUAUAAUUAACUUUGUUCUUAUCUUUGUGAUGGACAAUAACAACACCAUGGAUGUGGAUAAUAUUUGUGACAUUGACAACAAUGUGUCGAAUGAAAAUGAGAUACAUGGUAUUGGGGGGAUGUUAAUGGCAACUGCAAUGACCACAUGGAGGAGGAGGAUCAUGUUCUUGCACCUACUGAUAGUGAGGUGAAUGUCAUUAGCCAAAAAGUUGUUUGUGGAAAAAACAAAUCCAUAGAUGGAGACAAUCCUGUGGUGAAACGACUACUAGCAACCAAGUCAACUAGUACCUCUACAAGCAAGUUUAUGGCAUCUAUAUUUAAAUCAGCAAGGUCAAACAAGAGCACAGAUUUAGUGUCUCAACCUCAAGUUCCUAAAGUUGCACAAGAUGCAAGUGCGAGCGCAAGUGAAAAUGCAAGCAUAUAUAGCUGCAAGUGUCCAAAUAAGCACUGAGGAUGAUUGUGAUGAAGAAUUAGAUGUCAAGAAAAAGAAACUUACUUCAUGGGUUUGGGAGUAUUUUACAAGGUAUGAUGUAGAAGUGGAGGAAAAUGAUGGUUCCAUUGGUAAGCAAAAGUGGGCAAAAUGCAAAAAAAUGUCCACAUAAAGCUAAGGCCGAUAGUUCAAAUGGCACAAAGGAUUUUAGUAACCAUUUAAAGUUGAGGAGUCAACAUUUAGCUCUGGUGGACGUGUGGUAGAUGCCUUCCGUUCGAAGCUUAAACCUGAAAUUAUAGAAGCCUUAGUUUCUACUAAGGAUUGGAAGCUUGCUUCAGAGAAAGAUUUGGAGGGUGAAAUAAAAACUAUAAGUGAAGUUAUGAAUGAUGUGGAGGUCGACGAUGAUGUUGCGACUUGAGAUUUUUAAGCAAGCAUGGAUUGCUUUAGAGAAAGGUUUCGAGUGUGAAAUAAAAACUAUAAUUGAAGCUAUGAAUGUCAUGGAGUUGGAUGAUGAUGUUGGGACUUGAGAUCUUCAAGCAAGCAUGGAUUGCUUGCACUAUCUUAUGUCAUUUAAAAACCAUCUUUUAUUGUAAUAGUCUAUCGUGUUGAACUGUCUUGUGCUAUAUUAGACUCUUGUGUGAUGUGAACUUAUUCCUAUUAUAUUUGAACUAAUGUAUGGUGUGAACUUAUUGCUAUACUGUGUUGGUCUAUGUAAUGCUAUUGUAUGAUGUUAACUUAUUUCUAUAUUAUUAUGUUGGACCAUUGUGUUGUA